rfam:Rhizobacter sp. Root1221 contig_4, whole genome shotgun sequence.
UCCCUGCUUUUCCUCCCUGAGCAGGAGCCUUGCCGUGAUGACAGCGAUAAGGCUUUUCUGCCCCAGCCAAUUGGCUGGGGCUUUUUUCU